UGUUUAGUUUUCAGAUUUUGGCGAGGAUUUUAGGGGAAAAAAAAGAAGAAAAUAAAUUUGAAUUGGGAAAAAUAAAGUUAACAUGUAUCAUUGUUUUUAAAAACAGAUAAAAGCUUUAAAAUUCUCGAACUUCGACCAUUAAGAAUCAAUGGUGAAAAGCAUUUGAAUUUAGAUGGGAACUUUCGGAGGAGUAGUAGUAGUAUUUGCUAUAGUAUGCAAACUUGAGAAAGCAGAUAAUGAUUGGGGAAAGAAUAGUUUUGCUGUAAACCAACUUUCACACGUUUCACUGCGGAGGGAUUUGACACAGACAAGCACCUAUUCAUAUAAUUAUAAAGACAUGUUGAUGCCUGGAUUUUGCAUCCUAGCUGUUUGAACGUCAAAUCUAGGUAAUGAACCCUGGAAAAGGAAAAGGUGUUUGUCUUUUGGUCCCCCCAUUUAUGAAGGGUAACUUGAAAUUGGGAAAUCUGGGUUUGUUUGUACACACAUAUUUGGGUUGAACAGAUUGGAACUUUGAAAAAGAGUUGAAACAUCAAGAUUCGAUUGUCUUUGGAAGAAUUUAUAUCUUUUAAUGCGUUAACUUUUAGAACAAGUAAUAUUCUGCAUACGAAACAGUAAAAAUGUAGGGGAACUUCUGGAGGAUGGGAGAUAGAAGGCAGAGACUUUGGCGAUAAGAUCAACACCAACUCAACUCAGGCAGGCCUUUCUUUGAUUCACACAAUGAAUAAGAAGGAUAGAGGGAGAGAGAGGAAAAGCAUAACGUGGCAAUUUGGCGGCCAUGAUUGUGCGGUGGUUAUGAUGUUGAUUGUUGGAAAUCAUAGACCAUUUGGUAACACGAAGCUUUUAAGAGUUGGAAUCUGUUUUAUAUACAACAAUUAUUUAAAAUUAUUUCGUAGCACUGUUAAUUACUGUAUGCUUGUCUAUAUGAGCAUAGUGUAGAUAUUGGUA